CCUACCCCGGAAGUAAUUCUGGGCGUUGUAAUUAUCCGGUUUUUGCGACGCUAUACGCAGAUAUUGCCCGGGGCUAGACCACAAACCGUACUAUUAAAGGAUUCUUACCUACGAACUUCUGGGGGGUGGAACGCUUGCGUUUGGUGAGGCUGUUGGCCAGCCGAUCAAUGAAGGUUGGCCGCUCAGAGGAUGAGUGCAACAUGGAGUCUGGCACCAUCUCCAGGUCACGUAUCUCAUCACCUGGGGGGAAGGAGGUGGAGACAAGUAAUAGCUGAAUGGGGGUAGCAUUAGCCCAGCAGCCUUUGCCUGGAGAAAAUCAGCAGGUCGGUAGCCAAGGAAGGUCAUACCCGAUACCUGGAAAACUAGGUUCUGCUCACUCCCCGCCCAUCCAGAGCUCAUCCUAGCAACAUUUCAAGUAACUUAAGGACAAUUAUGUACAUGUGACCCUUGAUUUUAUACUUCCUUGUGUUUUCUCUCUCCCAUUACACUGAGGACAUAGAUCAAAUCCUCUCUGACCCCUGGAUCUCCCUGCAGCACCUACCACAGGGCUUUGCACCGACUGGAGGGCUUGGCAGAUUUACUGAGGUAACUGUCCUUUUCCCACAGUCGCAUCCCUUUGUGAAGAGGGGGUAGAUGCUGGAAUCAUCCUGGUCCUGCACUCCCUCUGACCCAGCCCUCAACUCCCCCACAGGCCUGCCUACAGCCCUACCUGCUUGGCCAGCCAGAGCUUGGGCUUCAGUGCUGAGACUCUGUAGGUAGUUGUGGCACCGCUCUUUGUGCUCCUCCAGGGUACUCUGCUGUUUGUAGCUCCGGCCACAGUAGUUACACUUGUAGGGCUUGCCCACCGUGGGAGAGGAGACUGUGGAGGAGACAGGAGACGGAUGGCAUGAGUUACUUCUCCCUGUACCCUGGCUCUACAAAACCAUCCAGGAGCAAAGGCUCAUGGGCUUGAGGAGGAAGGGAUGUCGCUCAGAUUUUAUUUUUAAGUAAUCUGGGGCUAGAACUUACAGCCCCAAGAUCAAGAGUCACAUGCUUCACCAGCUGAGCCAGCCAGGCACCUCUACUGCUUAUUUUUCUGUCUCUCUACACUGAGAUACCAAGAGAGCCCCAGAACAACUAUCACUGAUAGAGAAAUUCCGAGAAGAGAAAAAGAAUAAAAGGACAGAGAGGAGAAUAAAGGAGAUGAGUAAAAGGAAGAGAAACAACAACUUUGAGGGCCUUUAAAAAUUUUUUCAAAAUAAAGAACAAGUUAUAAAGAUUUUUUCUGGGGUGUCUGGCUGGCUUAAUUGGGAGCGCAUGCGACCCUUCAUCUCAGUGUUGUGAGUUCAAGCCUCAUGGUGACUGUACAGAUUACUUAAAGAAAAAAAAGAAGAUUUUGUUUCUACUGAAGAAGUCAGGAAAACUGAGAUGGACACUUCAUUUAAAGACAACUUUUGAGAGAUGAUAUUUGUGACAGGAGAAGGAAAGUGAGAGAAACAAGAGUUUCAGUAUCCUUGUCAGCAAAACAAGGAUAAUGCCAUCUACCUUAGAGUCGUUAUGAGGAUCACAUGAAAAGACAAGCAAAAUGCUUUGUGGAUUAUAAAGCCUGAAUCAACGAUGACCUUUCUCCCUGUUUCUCUACUCACCUCCAAGGUAACUGACCCGAGUGUGUCCGGAGGUGGCCAGUGAGAGCAUCGCGCCGGCGGCAGGCGUAGUUACAGAAGGGACAUUUGAAAGGCUUCUCCCCAGAGUGAAGUUUGAUGUGGCGCAGCAGGUUCCCCUUCUGGGUGAAGGAGGCGCCACACUGGUUGCAGUGGAAGGGCCUUUCACCUGCAAGAGAAAGAACAGAUCUCUGAGGACUGCAUGUGAGGAAUUUUGAAGGCUGAACCUCUUCUGUCACCCUCUGCCCCACCCUGCCUAAGGGACGGUGCUCAGAACAAUUACUGAGAGGCAGAGCUGUGGCACGCACAGGAAAUUCCUGCUUUCUAAAGAUUCUCUUGGGAAGAGCCUUACCCUGGGAAGGUGUGGAUCAGGAUGAAUGGCAGGGCAAAGGGCACCAGGCCUGGAACUCUGGGCCAAAAGAUCAUUAACCCAAAACUGAGCCUUAUAAGACCCACUCUGCCCCUGGAGCCCAAAGGCUGAGAAAGCUGAGAAGAGGCUUUUGUUUUCCUUUUCUUUGUUUGUGUAUGUUUGUUUGUCUAAAUCAACAGGGCCCAAACAGGGUCCUACCCCUGUUGGGCUGUAGGAUUCAUCCUGAGGCUACAUCUACCUCUCCCUCACCUCCUGAGAAAAAUACCAGCUUUUCUUUAUAACAACAGCUGAUGAGAGUGCCAAAGAAGUACAGUGUGGAGGGAAUCGAAACGCCAUCCCCCCUUUCUUUCAUUGGCUAGAAAAUGUGCUGGGAGAGACUCUUCCCUUUCUGAGGCUGUCCCACUGCAUUGUGGGCCUCUGCCUUUCCAGCCUACCCUGGGAGCUCCUCCUCAACCCCCUGGCUUACUCACCCGUGUGGCUGCGCUUAUGCACCAUGAGCACAUUGGGUCCGAUACAGACCAUGCCGCAGACAUCACAUUUGAGCUUGCCAUUGGGCAGCCGGAUGCCCCCGGGGGAGUGAGGCUCUGGCCCACUUCCAUCACAGUAGCCCAGGGGCUCUGACAACGAGUCUUCCACGAUCACACUGUCGUCCUUUUCUAGGAGCCGCUCAUCUGGCCCCAGCAGUCUGCUCGACUCCUCAUCGCUGUACAUCUCCACCUUGAUGGAGUUGGCUGAAGGGUGGGAUGGUGUUUAGGACAGAGACAGGCAAAGGGGGAACCUGCCCGCAGACCAGAAUGUCACUCCCAAUGUCCAGAAGGCUUUCUCCCGGCCCUGAGACACGUGGGCUUUAAAAGUGGCCAAUACCCUCGGUAUCCUUGGUGGUGAUAUGGCACUCCUGCUGGGACCUGAAACAACCUUUUCCUUCUAUCUCACCACCCAGGCAAAUAGGCUUCAAGAGAAAGAAGUUGGGGUACAUUGGAUGUCUUCUGUCCCACUGGGGAGAGGAGGAGGCUAAGGAGAGCCUUUUUCUCCACUCUCUUGUCAUAAAGAAAGACGUCUGGCUUGGCCCUGGGCAGGAAGCCAGCAAGUAACAGUGGCGGGAAAAUGGUCCUAGGAAGACCAAAGAGACGGCAGGCUAAAGAGAGAGCAAAACUGGAAGACAGACAUGCCUCACAUUAUCCUCCCUCCCCAUAAGAGUGAACCCCCUCUACUCCCCUCCAUUAAAAUCUGGAGAGGGGGAUGAAGGAGGGAGGAGCCACUGAGGAGUAAGCUUUGGCUCUAGCUCUGACCUACAUUGCUGGCUAUUCCAACCAUUUAGAGAAUGUCACAGAUCUAGGGCCAGCUAGAAGAGGCAGUAAUGGGGACCCUGUCCGGGCAGGAGAAUGGGGGUGGGGCUGGGUUGGUGGUGAUGAGGAGAUCCCUCUCAUCUCUGUUUCCUGUCUGACUCUAGCUUGUGACCAUUCCUAUGUCCUUGCUUGUCCAACUCCAGGGUUUCUCUUUGGAGACUUUAGCUUAAUCCCACCCGUGCUUCUUUUAAUUCUACCCUUAUCUGGGAGAGACCACUCUCCUUCCAGAAGUCAGAAGGACCCUAGAUGCUGAACUCCUUAGUGUUUUAGAGGCUGUAUGCAGGAAACCAGAGGGAGGCAGCAAUGGGGAAAUGGCUGCCAGUGGAGGGUGAACUGAGGGCCAAACACAAACAGGGUGCCUAGCGCCAGGGCAGGGCAGGAGAUUGCACUUACCACUGAGGGAGCGGCUGGGAGAAGAGUGCUGGCUGUUGGGGGUGCUCACCGAGGGCCCCACCGGGGCCCCAAGGAACUCCUUCUCCAGAGAUGAGUCCCCGCUACCUUGGAGGAGAGAAUAAGAGGACAGGUGAAGCUGCAGCCGGGCCUUUUACUGUCCAUUGCCUCACCUUUUCAAAAUUCUGUUAUGCUUUGCAAACACUCAUCUUGUAGCCAUGUACAAGGCAGUGUUAUACGUUCAGCACCAUACCUUGUGAUGAAGUUUUGGGGUGAUGGUGGGGUGGUCCAGAGCUGACGGCCAAGAAAGAAUUCUUGAAGAUGUCUUUGGUGCAAAAAGGUGAUUUUAUGAAAGCACGGGGACAGGACCCGUGGGCAGGAAGAGCUGCACUGGGGUUGCUACGGGUAACUGAUUAUAUACCCUCAGAUUGGGAGGGGGUUAGGGACAGAGUAAGUCUCCAAGGAAUUUUGGAAGCAAGCUUUCCAGGACUUCAAGGGGCCAGCUACUGUUAGGAAAAUGCCAUUUAUUACCAUUUAGUAAAAUCUCAAUCAUGAGACCCUUCAGAUGUAUAUCAGAGGACCAUAAGCUUGGGGUAUGAUUGCCAGCAUAUAUCUUGGGGGAGUUGAGAUAAAGGAAGUUUCCAAAGGAAUUUUUAUAUGUUAAAGUAGACUUACAGGAUCCUGGGGGUUGGGAUAAUUUUAAGCUAAGAUUCUCUUUUGCCCAUAGCAAAGUGUCAUCAUCGAGGCAGCUGAGCUCUAGAGGAAGGUCACUCUGCCUGUUUCAAGGACUUGUCAAUGGGCUGUAGGCAGUAAGGGAAUUUAAUUUUUCAUUUGCCUUUGUUUCCCACAUCACCAUGGUAAGCACUUAAGCCCCUUUCCUUUGUUCUUGGGUAGCCAGGAGUGUCUGAGGAAUAGCACAUAUAUUCCACCUCGGGUGGGGGGGAGUGGCCCAGGAGGCUAGCUUGUACUUUGUCCUCAGCUUAACUUAUGCUCCCUCAUCACCUUGUGCCCUUGUCAGCCUGGUGCCCAGUGCUGACUUCUGCAAGCUCAGUGGCUGCAUCUUGUUCACCCUACCUUUUUCUAGGCCUGAGGGGAAGAGCAUCACUGCCUGACAUCUACAGGAAGGAAGGCUGAGGCUGGGCGGGCCAGGGUGGAGAGGAAAAUGGGGGCCUCAAAAGGGAGGUGGUUCAGGACAGAUGCUCUUCCCUAUUGUUCCUCUCCGGAGCCCCCAGCACCCAGGUUCGGGAUCUGUAGGAAGGGCAGCUGGAAUUGUCCCUGAGUCUAAUGAUAAUAAAAGUGAUCAUAAUGACAGCUGCUAACACUUAUGAGUGUUAUUGAGUGCUUAUUUUGUGCCAGGUAUUGUUCUGUGCACUUUAUGUGAACAACCCUGUUGAAGCAGGUGCCAAUAUUGUCUUAAUUUUUCAGAUGAGAAAACUGAAGCACAAAAGAGGCUGUGUUACUUGUCCAAGGUGACAUAGCUGGUAGUGGUGGAACCCGGAUGGAACAUAAACAGACCUGGGACCUGAAGUGUAGCCCGGUGAUUAUUAGCAAGACAGAACUUUUCACCUGCAUGGGAGUGAGCAGUUCAGGUACUGCAAGUAAACCAAACCCACAGCAUCAUCCUCUCCUGUCUGUACCUCCAUGAACUGAAUGAAAGCGACACAAAAACAUGUUGGAGUCACAUAGCUGGUUCUGUGGUCUAUCAGGGCUUUGCAUAACUGGGGACAGGAAAGAAGUAAAUGGUUGAGGGAAGAGAUGGAAUAAGGCAUUGUCUGCAGCCUGACUACGUGCCCCUUUCCAGGAAACAGACCUUGACAUUGAGCAAUCUGCAGCUCUGAAAUGAUCUUUGGGUCAACCUAGUACUCUCUGAAGGAAACCCACCAACCUUUUCUCAGCUCAUGUGUCUGUCUUUAUAGCAGAAAGGUCUGACUCAUUUUUUUCACCAGGCUGUAGAUGAUGACCUUCUGUCUACAUAUAAGACAGACGAAGACAGCUCAGCUUCAUUAUCCAAGUGCUUGGGGAGCAGUGCUGAGGGGAUGAAUUCCCAGGUAAUCCUAGGAAUGACCAGUCUCUAAAAAAAGAAGGGGUAUGAGCUGGAAACACAACAUCUGGGGAGUGGGAAAAUAUCACCUCAUUGUCUCCUUUUAGAUCUCAGAAGGAUGAAUAUUUUCUCUUGUUCUUUGCGCUUCCCUGUCCUCCCCACGUAGACUGCAGAAGAGAGAGAAGGCUAAGGUUUAUAGGUGGGAGGAGAAACAAUCGUACCCCUCCCAUGUCUCAUUUUAGGACUUAAGAAACUAUGGAGGGGCUAAACUAAACAGGUAAAUCACUAGGUGAUGCGCACGAGCUGAUACUCCCUGGGUUUGUGGUAUACCCUGAAGUAUUUGAGCCCUGUGUUUAUAGAAAGGCCCCACAAAGUCACUGCUAUUCAACUGUAUGUUUGGGUAAAGGUGAGAAAAGUAGGCCAGCAGUGUUCGAUUUGAGUUUCUUAAUAAUUAGUUUUGAAGCCAAAGAUGCCCCUAACAAAGUUAGCUCAAGUGAAGUUUGAAAUUACGUGGAAGGUUCAGUGAACUAUCCUGACUGGUAAAGAGUAGCAAAAAGGGGGAAGAGAUGGGAACAAUUGCCUUUGGUGGCAGUCCUGACCAGAAGUCUCUAAUGCAUGCUGAUCAACAGGGCUCACUGUUGUUUGGGCGGGACAGAUAUUUUCAGGCUCCUCUGCUAACAAAGAAUCUUGCCCUGACAAGUAAGCCUCUCUUCUUGUGGAGGGCCUAGGGCAGGAAUGUUGUAGGACCUGGGGAAUCUUGCAGCUAGAAUGGAGUUGAGAGAUGAUCUCCAAUCUCUUGUUUUUUAACAGAAGAAGAAACUAAGCUGAGUCACCUAUCUGGUUAGUGACAGAAUUAAGACCAAAUAGAACCCAGGUUAUCAGUCUGGUAACCAGUCUUUCUACUACAGCCCAAAGUUAAAUUUUGCCACAGUGGGAAGGUUUGGGACCACCCAUGCUUACCUUCCUUCUCGGAUGUUGAAAUGAAAAGUUUGGGGGUCUGCAUCUUGUGGCUUAAAUCCUUAAACUAGAAACACUGGUUUAUGGAUGGAAGAAAAAAUAAUCCUCUCCCUCCCAUGUCUCUUUUUAGAGAUUAUGAGCCUGAGGGAAAUGCCAACCUAGGCCCUUACUAGGUCUCUUUAAGGUAGAAACAGAGCUCCUUGGCUCAAGGAUUACACCAGCAUAUGUAUUCCAGCAGAGUCUACAAGGUUGAUGCCACUCCCACUGGUGGGGUAGGAGGGGACAGGCCAUUCAUAUCAGCACUAUCCUUUCUUAGAUGCUUUCGUCAGAUAAACCUUGAAAUUAUCUCCCUGUUUCCAAUACAGAAUCUACAACUCUUCUGAGAAGGAGGCAAAUCAAACAGCUGGGAAUUCAGAGCCUUCUUUAGGCAGGGUCAUGACACCAACAAAGAAAGAGAGUCCCUCUGCCUGUAGCAUUGUCUACACCCACAGAGCUCCACAUUCUUAUUUGUUCUUGUAGAGUAAAAUGAGCCCAGAAAUACCUGCCCUACAAUAAUUUGUCUUCAUUUUUCCUUGGUUAUUUUGUGUGUAUGUUGAAGGAAAAAAGAUGGCCAGUUUGGGAGAAAAUAAUUUCUUUGUGGAUGUUAGUAGGAGGUAAAAGGUGGGAUAAUGUUCCUCCCACACUGGGAAGUACAAGCUGCAGAUUUAAACUAGGAGAAAAUAAAGAAGAAAUGUUCAGUUGCA